GGGGUUGUGGCUCAGUGGUACAGCGCUUGCCUAGCAUGCAUGAGGCACUGGGUUCGAACCCUGGCACCA
rnacentral:tRNA from 1 species